rnacentral:pre_miRNA from 1 species
UAAUUACUCCCUCCGUCCAAAAAUAUUUGUCAUCAAAAUGGAUAAAAAGGGAUGUAUCUAGAACUAAAUACGUCUAGAUACAUCCACUUUUAUUCAUUUUGAUGACAAGUAUUUCCGGACGAAGGGAGUACCUU